rnacentral:rRNA from 1 species
UACGGAGGGUGCAAGCGUUACCCGGAAUUACUGGGCGUAAAGCGUGCGCAGGCGGCUUUGCAAGACAGAUGUGAAAUCCCCGGGCUCAACCUGGGAACUGCAUUUGUGACUGCAAGGCUAGAGUACGGCAGAGGGGGAUGGAAUUCCGCGUGUAGCAGUGAAAUGCGUAGAUAUGCGGAGGAACACCAAUGGCGAAGGCAAUCCCCUGGGCCUGUACUGACGCUCAUGCACGAAAGCGUGGGGAGCAAACAGG